GCAGAAAAUCUUAAGAGUUAAAGCACUUCAGAGAUUAAGCCUUGCUCAUAUUAUAGUUUUCAGUCAGGUGGAAGCUUGCAGAAUUUUAACGAAUUGGUAUGUAAUGAUUAUUUGUUUGCUUUUUUUGACCUUCGGUAUUUUUGCCAAUGCCUGCUAGUUUUUAAAGUGAGGACUUUGACUAGGCCGUUCUAGAACAUGAAUAUGGUUUGACGUAAACUGCUCUGCUGUAGCUCUCGCAGCACAUUUAGCAGUUUACGUCAAACCAUAUGAACCUCCACCUCUGUCUCAAGACUUUUGCCGUGUUAGACAUGUUUUCUUCCAGGAUAACCCUGUAUUUAGCCCCGUCCAUCCUUCCUAAAGCUUCCCAGCAGGAUGCUGCUGCCACCACCACGUUUCACUGCAGGGAAGGUGUGAUAAGCACUGUUAGUUUUGCAUGUUGGUCAAAAACGUUCAAUUUUGGUCUGAUCUGCCCAGAGAACAUUCUUCCACGUUAACCGUUUCUGUUUUCCCGGAAUGGAUUUUGUUCGGCUUGAAACUCGAGAUCUCUUGUGGCUUUCCUUUCUGUCAGCAACUUUCUUUUUUACUUCUGUUAGCAACUCUUCCAUAAAAACAGGUUUGCAGAGUGCAAACUAAUAGGUGUCCUGUCAACAGAUUUUUCCACCUGAGCUGUGAUUUGCGCAGUUACUCCAGUGCUCUGUGAGGUGAUUAAGGUUUGGGAUAUUGUUUUGCAACCU